GACGAACCGUGCGAACGUUAUUCGGAAUCACUGGGCUUAAAGCGCGUGUAGGCGGGAAGGCACGUCGGUCGCUGAAAUCCCCCGGCUCAACCGGGGAAGUGGCGCCGAUACGACCUUCCUGGAGGGACGUAGGGGGACCUGGAACUUCCGGUGGAGCGGUGAAAUGCGUAGAUAUCAUUUGGAACGCCAAUGGUGAAAACAACUCGCUGGGGGUGUGCUGACGCUGAGACACGAAAGCCAGGGGAGCGAACGGG
rnacentral:rRNA from 1 species